rnacentral:rRNA from 1 species
AUUGAACGCUGGCGGCAUGCUCUACACAUGCAAGUCGAACGGUAACAGGCCGCAAGGUGCUGACGAGUGGCGAACGGGUGAGUAAUGCAUCGGAACGUGCCCAGUCGUGGGGGAUAACUACUCGAAAGAGUAGCUAAUACCGCAUACGAUCUAUGGAUGAAAGCGGGGGACCGUAAGGCCUCGCGCGAUUGGAGCGGCCGAUGUCAGAUUAGGUAGUUGGUGGGGUAAAGGCUCACCAAGCCAACGAUCUGUAGCUGGUCUGAGAGGACGACCAGCCACACUGAGACUGAGACACGGCCCAGACUCCUACGGGAGGCAGCAGUGGGGAAUUUUGGACAAUGGGCGCAAGCCUGAUCCAGCAAUGCCGCGUGCAGGAAGAAGGCCUUCGGGUUGUAAACUGCUUUUGUACGGAACGAAACGGCUCUGGUUAAUACCCGGGGCUAAUGACGGUACCGUAAGAAUAAGCACCGGCUAACUACGUG